CUGUGAUCCAUCGGACUGUUGUUUCAGGUUUGUCUUCAGGAUUAAAGAUUCGAAGCAGCUACAUGAUAUUGACAACAAAGGUUGUGAACUACAACAUUUUUUACAAUCGAUCAAAAUGGGCAAGUUUUGAAAAGCAUCGAGACGACUGCUACAAAGCAAGUUGGAUCAUCUUGUCUGGACUCUACAGAACAUACUACAGCCCAUGUAUUGCUGUUUUAUUCACCUCUGUUUUUAUCUGUGAUAAAGAGUGUGUAACAGUGUUCUCCAGGUGUUGAAUAAAAAGAAUGGCUAAACUCUAUUUUAUGUUUUCCUGUUGUAUGACAUCUGUGUUUAACAUGGAACAAUAACACAAUUCAUGUACAUUGAUUGAUGUUUACAGUCCUGCAGAAAUAUUACUGUCCGUGGUACUGAAUCCAUCAGAUUAUUGACAAGUACUCAGAAAACAUGACAGCAAACAUGAUGUUUAUUUUGGGUGUGGAUUUUGGAAUAAACUGCUGCUUCAAUGUAAAUGUAAUAAGUGACUUAUCAAGGUAUUCAUCAAUAUUUUUCUUUCUAAAUAUCACAUGAGUUGAAUGACUUCUCUAGGCUUGUGAGAUUUUACUUUGUUAUAGAAGUUACCAGUGUAAUUACUGAAAUGUUCUUUUCAUGUAUUCUUUAAUGUCUGUAUCUGAUAUCUGAAUGCAGUAACAGUGCUUGCUAACUUAGAAAUGAAUCUGGAAUCAGCAAUGUUGAGAUAUUUUGUUGAUAUUAAGUCAUUGAAGGAAAAUUAUAUUGUCUGUUUUAUAAAGGGAAUUAUGGGGCGGAGAUAAUUUGCCAGGACAAGUGGGGUGAGGCAUACACACAUUGUCUGGUACCCUAAAAGUGUCAAUCAGAAAGUUGUUUAUUUUAUGUUCAUCUUAAUACAAUACACAAUACAGAACUGCACAACAUGUCCCUUCUGCAAGAGGUUUAGCUAAGAGAACAUUCAUUUGUCACUUUAUUCUGAGACAUUCAAGCAUUUGUGGUCUGUCUAUGGACACUUACAGACUUCUAAAUCAGUCAGCUACAUUUGAGGCAUACAAAUGAAUAAAAGAAAAGCAGCAAGCAUACAUUUCAAAUGAUAAUAAUGGUAAACACAUCAACCUAAUAGUAAUGUUUCUUACAAUAUGAGUGAUUAGAUUUGGUUAAAUGAUAUUUAAUAUACAAAUGAUUAAAUG